rnacentral:lncRNA from 1 species
CUCCAGGGACGCAGACCGGAAGGCGGAGACUGGCGUGGCUGCCUGCGGGCAGACAGCGCCCACAGCCAGCCCUGAGGGAACUGCGAGGACUCUGGCUGCCGGUUCCUGACUGUGCGGGGGAUCAAACUCGGGUCCUUACGCUUGCGAGGCAGGCGGCCGAACCACUGAGCUAAAUCCCCGGCCUGAAGCCACAAAAUUAAAGAAGCUCUUGGAUAUUAUUAAGUAAACUCAUAUUAAGGAUUUGCUAAAGAAGAGAUAUGCUGACACCUUGUUAAAAUGGUAAGGAAGACUUCACUCAGGAUAUUACAAUAGGGG